rnacentral:ncRNA from 6 species
ACCCUGUUGAGCUUGACUCUAGUCCGA